rnacentral:rRNA from 1 species
UGACCAGACUCCUACGGGAGGCAGCAGUGGGGAAUAUUGCACAAUGGGGGAAACCCUGAUGCAGCAACGCCGCGUGAAGGAAGACGGUUUUCGGAUUGUAAACUUCUAUCAAUAGGGAAGAAAGAAAUGACGGUACCUAAAUAAGAAGCCCCGGCUAACUACGUGCCAGCAGCCGCGGUAAUACGUAGGGGGCAAGCGUUAUCCGGAUUUACUGGGUGUAAAGGGAGCGUAGACGGCUGUGCAAGCCAGAUGUGAAAGCCCGGGGCUCAACCCCGGGACUGCAUUUGGAACUGUGUGGCUGGAGUGUCGGAGAGGCAGGCGGAAUUCCUAGUGUAGCGGUGAAAUGCGUAGAGAUCGGGAGGAACACCAGUGGCGAAGGCGGCCUGCUGGGCUCUAACUGACGCUGAGGCACGAAAGCGUGGGUAGCAAACAGGAUUAGAUACCCCAGUA